GCUUAAGGUACGUACUAAUCCCUUGGGUAACCAAGCUCUAACGAUGAGACCCGACAGGUUGAGGCGUUAGAGGGCAAAGUCUUCGCGGCUUUUGCUGGUAGAUGAGCUCUUUUGAGCACAUCAACAUGCUGUGAUGCCCUUAGAUGUUCUGGGCCGCACGCGCGCUACACUGACAGAGCCAACGAGUUCUUCACCUUGGCCGGAAGGUCUGGGUAAUCUUGUGAAACUCU
rnacentral:rRNA from 1 species